GGGAUAAAAAGUUGACUGACUGACUGACUGACUGAUCUAACAACGCACAGCUCAAAUUACUGAUCGGAUUGGGCUAUAAUUUGGUAUGCAUAUACGUAUUAUGGCGUAGACAUCCGCUAAGAAAGGACUUUUGAAAAUUCAACCCCUAAGACGGUAAA